rnacentral:snoRNA from 1 species
AGAUGUGCACGGCAUCCCCACCUCUUCUGCGGCUCCGCGCAGACCGCAAGAUGGGCGGAAGCAUUGCUUAACAGAUGAGCUCCAUAGCGAUACGUAUCGAGAACCUGACG